GUAGGGCGGACCAGCCAGUUAUCGUGUAAGUGGAGCAGAAUGGAUUAAGAGCUUGCUCUUAUGAAGUUAGCGGCGGACGGGUGAGUAACACGUGGGUAACCUGCCCAUAAGACUGGGAUAACUCCGGGAAACCGGGGCUAAUACCGGAUAACAUUUUGAACCGCAUGGUUCGAAAUUGAAAGGCGGCUUCGGCUGUCACUUAUGGAUGGACCCGCGUCGCAUUAGCUAGUUGGUGAGGUAACGGCUCACCAAGGCAACGAUGCGUAGCCGACCUGAGAGGGUGAUCGGCCACACUGGGACUGAGACACGGCCCAGACUCCUACGGGAGGCAGCAGUAGGGAAUCUUCCGCAAUGGACGAAAGUCUGACGGAGCAACGCCGCGUGAGUGAUGAAGGCUUUCGGGUCGAAAAACUCUGUUGUUAGGGAAGAACAAGUGCUAGUUGAAUAAGCUGGCACCUUGACGGUACCUAACCAGAAAGCCACGGCUAACUACGUGCCAGCAGCCGCGGUAAUACGUAGGUGGCAAGCGUUAUCCGGAAUUAUUGGGCGUAAAGCGCGCGCAGGUGGUUUCUUAAGUCUGAUGUGAAAGCCCACGGCUCAACCGCGGAGGGUCAUUGGAAACUGGGAGACUUGAGUGCAAAACAGG
rnacentral:rRNA from 1 species